UUGCAUAGUAGGGUCCAGUAUAGAUUUAAUCUGACAGUGAUUAAAAUCACUAUCAUAAGAAACGCUUCGAUGCAAAUCUGUAGAUAGUGUUUAAUUUUAAAAAAUUGAUGGAUAAUUGCAAAAGCAACAUCAACUUCUAUUAAAAUAAAAUACAAAACCCAUAAUUAUCAUACAAAAAUAGUAUAUUUUUCAAUAUGGUAGCCAUUUGCGUAUAGAAGAUAGAUCGUCGGGACAAAUUUUUUUUUUUCAUUUUGUAGUACAUAAAAUAAGCUUUAAUUUUAUAUAUGUUUAAAGGACGCAGUAUUUCCGGAACAUUUUCAAAAAUUAAGUUGAAAAAGUUAUUUUUUGUAAAAAAGUUACUAUUUUAAAUCCUCCCAGUGAGCAGAAUAAGUGUUAGAUUUUCAAAAAAAAUUAUAUCAAAUGAAAGGGAAAUAUCUAAGGUUUCAAUACAAAAAAAUAUUAUUUUUAUUUGUUCAUUUUUGAAAAAGUUAUGGCAGUUUUAAGUACAAAAAACAUCCCGAUAAAAUGUAAUUUUUAUCGCAAACAUUACAUUUUUUUUUAAAUUUUCGACAGCCAUUUGCACAUAGAAGAUAAGAUGUCGGGACAAAUUUUUUUUUUUCAUUUGAUAGUAUAUAACAUAACCUUUGAUUUGAUAUAUGUUUAAAGGACGCAGUAUUUCCGGAACAUUUUCAAAAGUUCAGUUGAAAAAGAUCUAUGUUUUUUACAAUAUUUUAAGUUUUGAACGCCCCCUAUAUAAGGGGAAAUUGUCCAAUUUUAAUAAAAAGUAUGUCAAAUGAAAGAUGUACUUAUAAUGUAUUUAGAAAAAAAAAAUUUGUGCUGAUAUAUACAUUUUUCAAAAAGUUAUAGCAUUUUUAAGUUGAAAAUUAAAAAUCGAAAAUCGAAAAUUUUAACACAAAAAUAGUGUUUUUUUAACCAUGGCAGCCGUUUAAAUGUAGAAAAAAAAGUGUCGGCACAAAUUUUUUUUUUCAUUUUGUAGUACAUAAAAUAAGCUUUAAUUUGAUAUAUGUUUAAAGGACGCAGUCUUUCCGGAACAUUUUCAAAAAUUAAGUUGAAAAAAUUAAUUUUUGUAAAAAAGUUGCCAUUUUAAAUCCCCCCCAAUGAGCAGGUUAAGUGAUAGAUUUUCAAAAAAAUGAUAUCAAAUGAAAGGACGCAGUAUUUCCGGAACAUUUUCAAAAGUUCAGUUGAAAAAGAUCUAUGUUUUUUACAAUAUUUUAAGUUUUGAACGCCCCCUAUAUAAGGGGAAAUUGUCCAAUUUUAAUAAAAAGUAUGUCAAAUGAAAGAUGUACUUAUAAUGUAUUUAGAAAAAAAAAAUUUGUGCUGAUAUAUACAUUUUUCAAAAAGUUAUAGCAUUUUUAAGUUGAAAAUUUAAAAUCGAAAAUCGAAAAUUUUAACACAAAAAUAGUGUUUUUUUAACUACGGCAGCCGUUUAAAUGUAGAAAAAAAAGUGUCGGGACAAAUUUUUUUUUUUCAUUUUGUAGUACAUAAAAUAAGCUUUAAUUUGAUAUAUGUUUAAAGGACGCAGUCUUUCCGGAACAUUUUCAAAAAUUAAGUUGAAAAAAUUAAUUUUUGUAAAAAAGUUGCCAUUUUAAAUCCCCCCCAAUGAGCAGGUUAAGUGAUAGAUUUUCAAAAAAAUGAUAUCAAAUGAAAGGUAAAUAUCUAAGGUUUUAGUAUAAAAAAAAAUUAUGUUGAUUUGUUGAUUUUUCAAAAAGUUAUGGAAGUUUUAAGAAAAAAAAGUGAAAAAAUUUCGAAAAUUAGCGAUUUUUAAAUUUGUAAUUUUUUUGGAUAUUUCCCCCAUUUGCGGGGAACGAGGGAAUUUUUUUCAAUUUUUAAGGGUAAUGUCUUCAACUAGAUACGAUUUGUGAUCUUUUGACGUAUUUUUGAAAGAAAUCGGUCCAGUGAGAGCUGAGAAAAAGUGGCAACAGACAUAAAAAAAAAAAAAAACACAUCAUAGUAAAAUUAAUACCUUCUCC